ensembl:lncRNA
CUGCCUGAGGACUUCUGUCUGCACAAAAGUGUCAUGCCAGCACUAUCUUUCUCUCUGGCUCUCACUCUCUCAUUAGUAUACAGCCAGAACCACUGGAAAGUGUGCAGCUCCUUAAAAAUGCAUGGGAUCAGGAAGGAAUGGGGUACAGGAAUAUCAAUCAAGCUCAAUCGGCUGUAUGAACAGCAGGGGGGAGACAUAAACUUAAGAAAGAAGAUAGACUUCGUAUUACUGCCCUGGAGAUGUUGUAAUUUCACACACAGACUUCGCAUUGCAAAAACACCAGAUAGAGGGAGAUACAUGCUGUUUAUUAAGCCCAUGUGAGGAGAGACAAGAGCCUCUCAUGGAUCUAUUUAUGGAGGAAGCAGCUCGUAGUUGUUUGUAAAGGAGGGCAGAUUGUUCCUCUCCUCGCAUGAUUCACCAGGGCCAAAGUCAGCCGGAUUAGGGGACGAUCCGUUCCGAGAGACCCCUGCCAGGUCAACCCCUCACAGAUGGAUAUGUAUGAAGUGGCUGAGUUACGAAUGCCUGUCCUCUGAAAAAGUUUAGAGUGGCUGAAAGCACAAACGCUUCUCUUUGACACGGGUCAGGUGCCAAGCAUCAACAUGGAGAGAUUCAGCUCAAACGUGGAGCGAAACGGCUCUUAAUCAAUUGCAGAAACAAGGUGGCACAGUUGCAUUUCGCAGAGGUCUCCUCCACAGAACCUGUCUUUCCUCUUCUGGGUCUCUGUUCUCUGGUCCUCAAGCACUGGCUGCCAUAGCUACGGCUGUCACAUUCACAGGAGACACACCUGAGGACACAUGAAAAGACUCGGAGGAACUGGUUCCAGCUCAGGCGUCUGGUGGCUGGGAGCGCGGUGACAGUGAGACACGGCCCGCGCGUGGAAAAACUCCACCUCUGCGGUCGCAUCUGGCAGGACGGGGAGAUUCUGCGCUCAAGUGGAUCCCUGAAGUGGAACUAGAGGUUUUGAUCUGACGUGCUGAUUGUGCUGAAGACGCGACAGACCGAUGAAGAGCAACAUGAGCCCUCACCCUCAGGAUGCACCUCAUCACGGUGUCUGCUGGACCGCAUCAGACAUCUGAAAAUCACAUAUCGAGUUGUGCAAUGUAUAUCAUCUUCUGCUGAUGUACUCUUAGGGCGUGUCAAUUCAUCACUUAUUAGUACACUGUGUUUUUUUUUCUUGAUUACUUUUGACAAGAACAACUCUAAGUACAGGGGUGGCAUUGACAGAAAUGUGUUUCUCAGCGUAUUUCUUAUCACUCAGUUAGCCAUUUCCUUCGUCCUCCUCGUGUUACCGUCACUGUUGUGUAAGCAGAGCCUGGGCCAUGGAAGAGGAAGCUGACACAGUUCAGCCUUGGGUGUACCCUAUAGUCUACUCGUGCCAAGCACUUUCAACUCUUCAACCUCAACAGGAAC